rnacentral:misc_RNA from 1 species
GUGAAUCAUCAAAUUUUUGAACGCAAAUUGCGCUUCCUAGCAUCCCGGGAAGUAUGCCUGUUUGAGAGUCAGUAUUAACAAAAAAAUCGGUUUGGUUGCAAAGUGUGACGUUGCCGGAGUUUGGGCUAUCUGAACUUUUUUGGGUAAGGUGCUUAAAAUUGACCUUUGCUGCGCAUGUUUAGACGUACAUAAAUUUUUUUUUAUUCGUCUAUUCUUAAUUCCAAAAGCUUAUUAGAUGCGAUCAAAUCGUGUGGUUUGGUGUCCAUAAAAUUUUCAUAAUUUUA